GGGCGGGUAGCUCAGGUGGUUAGAGCGCUUGCGUGACAUGCAAGAGGUCACAGGUUCAACUCCUGUCUCGCCCA
rnacentral:tRNA from 2 species